rnacentral:lncRNA from 1 species
AAUAAUGGCAUUGUGAUUGGAUCACCUUCUACGGCGAAAACAAUUCAAUUUAAGCCAUCAAUGAGCAGAUCUAUCCGCAUUACCGACGUGAGUUGUCCAUUAUAUGUUUGACUUUGUCAGUUAGCGUUGCAUAACUCUUAGUUUUGGACUUCAUAUACUCUAAAUGAUGUCAUAGAUUGCAAUGCACCUCCUCUUUACUAGUUAGUAUAGGCAUUAAUUGCUAAAUGACACUUUUGAAUCCUAAAGAACUCUUGGAUUUUCGUGGACCACCGACGUGAGUUGUCCAUAAUAUGUUUGACUUUCUCAAGUUAGCGUUUCAUAACUCUUAGUUUUGGACUUCAUAUGCUCUAAAUGAUGUUAUAGAUUGCAAUGCACCUCCUCUUUACUAGUUAGUAUUAAUUGUUAAAUGACACUUUUAAAUCCUGAAGAGCUCUUUGAUUUUCGUGGACCUUGUAGUGAAAGGAAAAUUGAGUUCUUUAUUAGGUGGCUGCCACUGGUAUUUUCAUCAGAAUGAGAAGUGUAUCUGGAAGUUUUUCUUUUUGGUGAGGUAAGAUGUUUCAUUGAUGGCAUCCAGAAGAUGCAGAAAUACAAACGAGGUCAAUGUUAGCUCCACUACAAUUUGUUUCAAUUCCAGCCAGGGAGCUAACCAAAAAAGCAAAAGAACAAAAGCAUGGCCCAAGUCAAAGUAAGUGAACUGAUAAAAUCUAGAUGUGAGGCAACAUUAUUUACAGGGGUUAGGUUGCUCCAACUAAAAAGGUACACUAGACAUUUAGCUUUCAAAAAGGGAGGAGAAGUUGAAAUUCCAGUAAAACAUCUGCAAUUCCUUUCUUGCCAAAGAACCCAAAAUAUACAAGGGGGAUCAUCUUCCUGAUUUUCCUGAUGGCUCUGUCAACUUUUCAGUUGUUCCACCCUUCAACUGCUUCCUUAACUAAGUUGCUCUGACAUGGGUACGGGUGUUCGACACAGGUGCGGAUCUAGAGGUCGGAUCCUUUGAGAUAGAAAUUUUAAGAUUCGGGGAUACGGAUCCUAGAACCGACACGGGUGCGGGGAUCCGGCUAAAAAUAAUUUAAACUAAUAAAUAUUCAUGUUUACCAAUGCAUAUUCACAUGGAAUCCAAAGAAGGCAAUGUGGAAUCCCAAGGUGUCACAAUAAAUAAUUAAACUAUUGUAUAUACAUUAUUUUAUAUAAUUUUUUUCUGAAAAAUAUACUUAUGCCAUUAAAUUUGUAGUCUAUUCUUUUAAUUAUAAUAUCUUUAAUGUUAAUAUCUUUAAUAUUUAGAGAUUUAAACCAACUAAAAUAUUAUUUAUUGAUUAUAAUUGUAAAAUAUAUUCUGAAAUGGGAAAUGGGAGAAUGUCAUAAUGAAAGCUGGAAAUGUUGGAAAAAAAGAAAAGAAAAAUGUUGGCAUGCUGCAAGUCAAAUAAAAGAUCCUACUUUUGCUAUUGAUGUGGGAUCUACUAAGAAAAAGAUGACAAAAAUACGGGCCCUCUUGAUAUCUUUUGACUAAGCAUCAUGAUGAAAUGCACAUGGAAAAGUAAAGACUAAGCAUUACGAUGAAAUGCACAUCGAAAAAGUAAGUGGGGUUUGUAGUAUUUCUCUUUUCUAUUUUUAGCCAAAAAGAAAACAGUCGUCUUCUUCAAUGUCUUCUUCCGUCAAAAACUUCUCUGCCCUAAAAAAACAAUGGAAACUCAAAGAUUGAAGACAAAAAGCUUCAAAGGAGACAAAAGAACUAAUAUAAAUUACUACAUAGCAGCAAAAUUGAAGGUAUUUCGUUUCCCAUCUCUUCAAAUCUUUACUUGGGAAAAUCAAUUUUUCCAAAUUUUUGGUCAACGCACCCGAUCUAUUUUGACCGGAUCCGACGCAGAUCCCACACCCUUACCCGUGUCAGUGUCGUGUCGAUCCAAAUUUUUGGUCAACGCACGCGAUCUAUUUUGACCGGAUCCGACGCAGAUCCCAAACCCUUACCCGUGUCAGUGUCGUGUCGACACGGGUACGGCACCGAAAGUGCCGUGUCCGAGCAACUUAGUUCCUUAAUGCCCUGAGGUAGGGUCCAGCUUACCAGAAUGGAAAAAAGCAUAGACCACAUGCGAACUCCUUCUACAGAGGGUUAUCUUGUGUGAGACAGGCUCCCCUAAGGCCUAAGAGUUGUCCAUGAGAAGCAGAUUACAUUUUUGGGCAGUUUUGUCUUCCAAACCAGUUUCCAGGGCCAGGAAUCAAUGAUUUCAUUCUACUCGCAGAAGUGUCUGUAGCCUGCCUUCACAGUGUAAGAGCCUGAUUCAGAGUUGCCCUACUUGAGUCUGUCUGAUGCUUGUUCAUUCAUGGAGAAGAUUCCAUGUCUUCAAUAGAGUUCCAAAAGACUUUCCAGUUCCCAGUCCUGCAUGUUUCUUCUAAACAGGAGGUCCAAAGUUGGACCUCCUUCCUUCUGAUCUGUUUUGAGCUAUUGUAGAGUCUGGAGCAUUGGCCAUCUGAUAUAAGGAUGGAUAACUGUCCUUCAGGGUGUUUGUGCCCAACCAUUUAUCCUUCCAGAACUUGACAUGUAAUCCAUUUCGAAUCUUGAAUGAUAUGUUCUGUGAGAAUUACUCCCAUAGGCUGCUGAUGUGUCCAUGGGUGCUUUGUUGUGUUUAGUGCACCAGUGGGACUGUUGCUCGUGUUUGGAAGCAACCGCAUCUUUCCAUAAGCUAGAGCCUUCGUCUCCAAAUCUUCCUAGCCAUUUCAUUACCAUGCUCUUGUUGUGCUUUGCGAGGUCUCUGAAUCCCCGUCCACCUUGGGAUUUUGGCUGUAUUACUCUGGACCACUUGACAAGGUGGAGCUUAUGACCUUCAGAGUUACGUUUCCAGAGAAAGGUCUUCUAUCUUUGCGCAGUUGUUUUAGGACCUUACUAGGCAUAGCAAAGAUUGACAUGCAAUAGGUUGGAAUGCUGUCCAAGAGACUAUUUAUCAAGGUCAUUCUGCCACCCACUGAAAUGUAUUCUAUAUGCCAUGUUGACAGUCUUUUUUCCACCUUUCCAGUGACCUGAUUCCACACACCAGCUGAUUUCUAUUUAGCCCCCAAGGGAAGGCCCACGUAAGUAGUUGGAAGGGCACCAGCAUCUCAGCAUAAGAUAGCAGCCAGAGCUUCCAAGUUAGGGACUUAAUUGACAGGGUAUAUUACACUCUUUAACAUAUUGAUAUGCAGGCCUGAGCUGGCUUCAAAUAUGAGUAGAGUGAGAUUGAGGUGUUGUACCUGAGACCUUUCAGCACCACAAAAGAUUAUUGUGUCAUCUGCAUACAAUAGGUGUGAGACUGAAAUAGAAUCUGUUGAAGGGUCUCCUUCUAUCCAUUGUAGCUGCUUUGCUUUAUCGAGCAUCUGAGUCCUUCCAUGGUUAAAAUGAAAGGAAGGGAGAUAGGGGAUCUUCCUGUCUUAACCCGUGUAUCUGGGAAGUUCUUCUGGAUCUCAUUAUUAGACUAGCUUUUUAGCGUCAUUGUGAACAACUUUUAAAAUGUCCGGUUCUAAACAAGAGAUAGUUCUUUUUUUACUGCUGUUCUGUAUUUAAAAUAACUGUUACAGGUCCACUUACCCAGUAUUAUUUAAGGUCUCUGACGACAAUGGAUAUCUGAAUGUAGAUUCCAAAGAGAGACCUUCUAAGUCGAGAUUUUGCGAGUCAACCAGACAGGACUAUUCCAAUUUAUAUACUAUUAAUAAACACCAAUUUUACCUCUGAAAAGGCUUCAGACGAUUUCCAUUGAUACCUCAGAUAUCAUCGAGUCUCUACUGUCAUUAGUCUUAAAACAUUAGCAUCUGAGAAGAGUACAAUUGUUUUCUGCUGCACUUGAACUGCUUUGACAUUUCAAUAGGAAGAACACUUUGUAUAUUUUGGAUCAUCUUGUGUUGUAAAGUAUAUGUUCUGCAUUUUCUUUUGGUGCAAGUACUUACAUCGAUCUUGGGCACAGGGCCAACAAGAAUCCUAUAAUUUCUGUCUUUUAUCUUAGCGCCAUAAGAUAUAUUUGCAAUGCCUAAGUUGAACAGGGUGCCUAGGUCCCCUAGUAAUGCCCCAUCUCUUUAUUGCACAAAGGAAAAAGUAAACAUGACGUGUAGAAGUAUUGACCAUUGGAGGUUGUCCUAUAAAACCCAUAAACUGUCACAAAGCUGUGUGUUGAACUUUUGGAGAUGAAGCUGCGGGUUGCAUCAGUUUGUCUCUGCCAGCAAUUACUCUGUUCUGCUCUCUGAAGACCUUGUGAUACUCUUGUUUUUCUUUUGUAUUCCCUUUUUUUAUGCCGCUUCCAUUCCAGCUUGCUAACAUUGAUGGAGGUCUUCCUUGUCAAUUUGUUUCCAAUGGCAGAUUCCAUUUUUCCAGUGUUUUGACAGGUUUUAUUUGGGUAUAGUUUAAUUUCUUAUUGCACUUUUAAGCCUGUAAAGUCUUGUUUCCAAUGUUCAUUUUUUCUUUUCAAAUACUUCUGCAACUUUUAUACUCGUUCAAGUUAGCCUUGUUUCGUAAAGAAGUUAUCUUUGUGAUCAUCACCAUAAUACCCUUUGUUUAUUCAUGUCCCUCUAAUUAGUCCAACCCUCCCUACUUCUUCUAAAUUUUCAGUGGGGAUUGCCUCUUUGACUAAUUUUAAUCCCUUGUGUUUUUUGUUUGAUACUAAACUUCUUAGCCUAAACUUCUAGAGCAUAUCGGUUGCUUGCUUCCCUAAUAUUUCCAUGUACUUUGAUGAGGAGGAACUAGAACCACACAUGCAUAUGAAGGAAUGAGCUUGUUUUCUGUAUAUUGAUGUCAAUUGACCUCAUAUACUUCUUCUUUCCUUUUGCUGCCUUUUUUAUUUAAUAUUUAAUCUCAUAUAUCAUUUUUAUGUACUGGCUAAAAGUUAACCACCCAACCCAAGCAGCUUUCACAUUUUAGUUCUAUCCCCAUGCUAACGUUAUUCCAGCCUCUAUCCUCUCUGAUUUACUUUUAAGUGCAACAAUUUUAACUGCAUCUCAAUUCUAAGCAAACUGGGAAUGGCUAUGUGAAUCUUCAUUGUUCAUGUCUCUCUAUUUAAGCCUGUUUCAGUCCAACAUUUAACAAAUUAGUUUCUCUGACACUAGAAGUUCUCUACAUCUUUCAACAAUAACAACUACUCUGCCCCAAACAAGUUAGGGUGUGAAUACUCAUUGACCAUGUUUCUCCAUUUAAAUUCAUAUCAAGCCAAUAUUAUACAAAACAACAACAACAACAACAACAACAACAACAAACCUAGUGUAUUCCCAUAAAUGAGGUCUGGGGAGGGUAGUAUGUACCCAUACCUUACCCCCUACCUUAUAAAGAUAGAGGUGGUUUUUGAUAGACCCUCGGCUUAAGGAACAUUGGAGAUAAAACAAGUAGCAAACAAUAGUAACAACGAUAUAUAAAGUUAACGGGCGCGAAUGACACAACAUGUAAUAGUAAAGAACCAUGAAUAAGAUAAUAUGGAAAUAAUCCUAGUACUACUGGUAAGUCUAUGAGGAACAUACUACUAUCUGUCAACCUACAAUCCUAACCCUUGACCUCCACACCUUUCUAUCGUGGGUCAUAUCCUUGGUAAGUUGGAGCGAUGAUAUGUUAUGUCUAACUACCUCUCCCCCAUACUUCUUAGGACUGCCUCUUCCAUUCCUCAGACCCGCAAUGGACAACCUCUCGUACCUCUUGACUGGAGCAUCUAUGUCUCUCCUUUUCACAUGCCUGAACCAUCUCAGCCUCGACUCCAAAACUUGCUCCAUCGAUGCCACUCCUACCUUGUCCCUAAUAACUUCAUUCAUGAUCCGGUCCCUCCUGGUAUGACCACACAUCCAUCUCAAUAUCCCAUUUCAGCUACUUUCAUCUUCUAGACAUGGAACUUCUUACCGGGCCGGCAUUAGCCCCAUACAACAUAGCUGGUCUAACCAUCACUUUGUAGUACUUGCCCUUAAGUCUAGGUGGCACACUCUUAUCACACAAAAACCCCGAGGCGAGUGUCCAUCUAAUCCACCCUGCUUCAAUACGAUAUGUAACAUUCUCGUCAAUCUCCAUGUUGCCUUGAAUAAUGGACCCAAGAUACUUGAAACGAUCUCUUUUGGGGACGACUUGAGUACUAAUCUUCACUUCCUCUCCUUCUUCAUGCAUCCUAUCACUGAACUUGCACUCUAAGUGCUCAGUUUUCGACCUACUCAACUUAAAACCCUUAGACUCUAGCAUUUGUAUCCAAAUUCCAACCUAGCAUUAGCACCGUCAUGCGUCUCAUCAAUCAGGACUAUGCCAUCAUCGAAUAACAUACACUAUGGCAUCUCCCCUUGUAUGUGUCGCGUCAGCACCUCUAACGCUAAGGCAAACAAAAACGGGCUAAGAGCCGAUCCCUGAUGCAACCCCAUCUCCACUUGAAAAUGAUCUGAGUCUCCUCUCGCAAUCGUCACCCAAGUCUUCACUCACUCUUACAUGUCCUUAAUCACUCCAAUGUACGCCAUUUACAUCUCUAUAGAACCUCUCGGGACUUUAUCAUAAGCCUUCUCCAAGUCUAUGAAUCCCAUAUGCAAGUUUUUCUUCCUUUCCUUAUAUUGCUCCACCAAUCUCCUCAGAAGGUGAAUGGCUUAUGUAGUAGACCUUCUCGACAUAAAUCCGAACUGGUUCUCGGAAAUAGUAACACUACGUCUUACCUCCUCUCCACUACCUCUCCCAAAUUUUCAUAGUAUGAUUCAACAACUUGAUACCCCUAUAGUUGUUGCAGUCCUGAAUAUCACCUUUGUUCUUGUAUAAGGGGAUCAUCAAACUCCACCGCCACUCUUCGGGCAUCUUAUUCACCCUGAAAAUGAUAUUAAACAACCCAGUAAGCUAUUCCAAGCCUGCCCAAUCCACUUUUUUCCAUAAUUUUACUCGGAUUUCGUCAGCCCAGUUGCCUUACCCCGGCUCAUAUUUAGCAUUGCCCUCUCAACCUUUUCGCUCCUAAUAUGCCUGCAAAACCCAAAAUCCCUGUGACUCCCCGAGUUUUUCAACUCACCUAGCAUGAUGUUUCUGUCCCCUUCCUCGUUCAUGAGUCUAUGGAAGUACUACAACCAUCUAUGCCUAAUACACGCCUCUUCCACCAGAACCUUACCAUCUUCGUCUUUGAUGCACCGCACUUGAUCCAGGUCCCAAGCCUUCCUUUCCCUAAUCUUGGCUAACCUGUAUAGCUUCCUGUCGCCUCCUUUGACCCCAAGAUCCUCAUACAAUUGCUCAACGGCUGCAGUCUUAGCCGUCGUGACUGACAAUUUUGCCUCUUUCCUUGCCUUAUAACACUCCCUAUGCGUCCUCUGCUCCUCAUCCGUGCUCCCCACUAGCUUCAGGUAUGCCACUUUCUUGGCUUCCACUUUUCCUUGGACCUCCUCGUUCCACCACUAGUCCACUUUGUGGCCUCUCGAAUAACCCUUCCAUACCCCUACCCACCUCUCUAGCUGCUUCCCUAAUGCAGUUCGCUGUCGUGGUCCACACAUUACUCGCAUCCUCACUACUCUUCCAAGCCCACAACCAACUUCUCUCUAAACUCCUACGCCUUUGCAUUAGUCAUGGCUCUCCAAUUGAUCUUCAGUUGGUCGUACACCACUCUCUUCUUCCUUUCUCUCUUGACCUCCAAGUCCAUUACCAGGAGCCUAGCAAUCAGUGCAAAGGCCCCUAUCAUCCCUCCUAAGGAGAAAGGUAAUCAAUCUGAGUCCUGGCAACCUUACUUCGGAAAGUGACCACGUGUUCCUCGCUCUUCUAGAAACACGCAUUAGCUAACGCCAGGUCAAAAGUGUUAGCAAAAUCCAACAAUGAGGUACCGUACUCAUUCCUAACUACGAAACCGAACCCGCUAUGCACCUUGUCAUACCCCCCCAUGAUGAGCUUCUCGAAAUGUGGAAUAUUACGCACAACUUCAUCCAAAUCAUCCCAGAAGCGCCUUUUGACCUCCUUGCCGUGGCCCACCUGAGGCACGUAAGCGCUAAUUACGUUAAAAAUGACCUCACCAACCACUAGCUUAAUAGUUAUUAGUCUAUCAUUUACUCUGCUAACAUCUACCACCAUCUCCCUAAGAUCCCUAUCUACUAAAAUACCUACCCUAUUAUUGCCUUAUCCUCCUCCUAAAUACCAUAGCUUAAACCCGUUAAUAUCCCGAGCCCUCAUACCCUUCCAUCUAGUCUCUUAAACACAUGCUAUAUUAAUCUCCUCCUUAUGUGAAAUCUUUCCUAACUCAUGUAGACUUACCUGUCAGUGAUCCUAUGUUCCACGACCCCACUCUUAGCCUACUAGAUUCCUCGCCCCUUUGCCACCUUUGCCCCCCACCCCCUGGCCCACUCGAGGACAUGACCCUACUCUACCAUCGUUCCCGCUAGCCACCCCACCAACAAGAGACUAAGGACGAUUACUUAAGAAUAAAACUACUGCAAAUGCAGAAAAGUGGAAAAGCUUCAAUGUAGACUAAAACAACAACAACAACCCAGUAUAAUCCCACUUAGUGGGGUCUGGGGAGGGUAGUAUGUACGCAGACCUUACCCCUAUCCUGGGGUAGAGAGGUUGUUUCCAAAUAGGCCCCCAACAAUUUUCUUAAUCACACAAGAUAUAUAGUGAUUAGCUAAUGGCGGAGAAAGGUAAACACGCAACAAAGGCAGGCAACUAAUGUAAUACUCAAGGGUAAAAGGCAGGCAACAAAGCUAUAUACACGCAAGAUACAAAUACUAAGCAGGAAUGAUAGAACAUGGAAUGUUUACGGAUGCCAAAAUGAUGUAGACCAACAACAACUACAAUCCGAGAAUACCUACGCACUGUUCGCCUUUAGCUGUUUGCGCCUGGGCUCCACACACCUCUCAAGGAUUGCCGAAUAAUUUCCUCUGUGCAGAAUCCUCUGCUGCCGCUGCUACUUCAAAAAUUCAACAAGCAGUCCACCGAGAACGGACAGAAGACGACCAAGAAGUGCUCGGCAGCCCGGCGGAGAUGCCUGACGACAGAGAAGAAACAAAAAAAAUUGGAGAAAAGAAGAUGAGGGUAGAAGAGAAGAGGGAUAAUAGAGUAGGAAGAAAGAAGAGGCAGAAAUAGGGGGAAGAUAAAGAAGNNNNNNNNNNNNNNNNNNNNNNNNNNNNNNNNNNNNNNNNNNNNNNNNNNNNNNNNNNGAGAGAUCCGGCGAUUUGAGAUAGGGAUAGAGGAAAGAAGUGGGGAGAAAGGAGAAGAAAAACAGGGGAAACAUCAGAGAAGGGGGGAGGGGACUUACCUGAUUUCGGUGGAGGUUGCCGGAGUUAUGCCGGUGUUAGCAGAGGCGUUCGGUUAGAGAAGUUAGGUUGAGUGAGAAGAGGGGAGGAAGGAGAAGAAAAACAGGGGAAACAUCAGAGAAGGGGGGAUGGGACUUACCUGAUUUCGGUGGAGGUUUCCGGAGUUAUGCCGGCGUUAGCUGAGGCAUUCGGUUAGAGAAGUUAGGUUGAGUGAGAAUUUUGACUUAUUUUCCUUCAAUAUUAUUCAAAAUAAGAAUAAAAAUAAAAGCAUUAAAAGUUCUCUAUAUGUUAUCCGGGCAUAAUAAUAAAGACGGAAAAGACCUAAAAAUGUCACUCAACUUUCAGAAAUGGUCUAUCCAUGCCAUCCGUUAAAGAAAUGUUCAUUUCAUGCCACUGCCCUUACACAUUUGGGCCAUCCAUGCCAUUAUUGACUAACGGCAGUGGCAUGGAUGAGCCAAAUAAAAAUUGGGCCGUUAGUCAAUAAUAACAUGGAUGGGCCAAAUGUGUAAUAUGCAAUGAGCAUUUUUAUAACGGAUGACAUGGAUAGACCAUUUCUGAAAGUUGAGUGGCAUUUUUAAGCCUUUUCCGUAAUAAAAAUAAAAGUAGUAGAAGUUCUAUAUAUGUUAUCUGGGCAUAAUAAUCUAUGAUAGGACUAAUAUAUACUCCUAGAAAGCAUUGGACCUGAAGUAGUGUGCUAUCAGGUCUAAAACAUAUUCCCAACAAAUUGUUAUUGCAUAUAUACAUCUUUUCUUCUAUUGUGCUCUAUCUUUCGCUAAGUCCGUGGAUUCCAAGAGAUUGUAGAUCUUUCGAGACAACUUCCUUCCAUGUGAUUUAGAUCUACCUCGUUCCCGUCUUACACCUUCACUCACAUGAUCCCACACCUAUAGGAUAAUGCAUCUGGAGGUCGAUGUAGGAUAUAACUAAACCAUCUCAAGACCUCUCAUUUUAUUCUCAAUGUGAGCUACUUUCACCUUCUAGCGAGUGUGCUCAUUUUUCAGCUUGUCUAAUCUUGUGAGGUUGUAAAUCCAUCAUAGCAUCCACAACUAUGUGACACUCUAUCUUGUGGAAGUGUUGGACUUUUAAAGCCCAAUGUUUGCUUCCAUAUAACAUUGAAAAGGGGGAGGGUGUGAGUUGGGGCGUAGGGAUGGGUUGGUGGGGAUUAAGAAUAUGGUGAGGAAGAUUGAAAAAGAGUUUUUGAAAAUAUUAUCUCUUCUCUUGAGAAGGAAAAUAUUUUUCUCCAAUUUGAGGAAAAUGAGUUCACGAGGAAAAUAUUUUUCAAAACACUUAUGUCAACAAAACAUGGAAAAAUCGGAAAACCUUUUUCCUUCAUAUCAAGCACACCCUUAAUGUACUCUUGAGUACCUCGUUAUCGAAAGUGAUUUAUAUUAAGUGGGAAAAAAUAUUCUCUUUCUUAACCUGUACUCUUCAAGAACAAAUGAAAAAUUAUACAAAUUUGCUUCUACUUCUUAAACUAAUUUUGGUAUGCAAGUACACAUCUAGAAAGAACAAAGACGCUAAACAAUAGUAAACAAUACUUACAAUAUUUAGAAGGAAAAAAAACUCACAUAGUCAACUAUAGUGAGAAGAAACAUACGAAGGAAAAGAAGUUAGAAUACCUUUAUAGCAUUUUCAAUUUAAAAAAUAAUAUCAUGUAUUUUGAAUGAGCAAAAGUUGGAAGAUAAUCCACUAGGCUAACCCAUAUUUUACCCACAUUUUACCCAUGAAUACCAUAUUUCUAUGGGUUGAAUAUGGAUGGAAGCCUAAAUUUUACCCAACUUAAAUAUCACUUAUCCAAUCCAUUAAAAUAUGGGUGAUUGGCUGGGUUGAUAAAAUAUGGGCUCAUUUUGCUAGCACUAGUUUUAUGGAACUUGCCUAUCACUGUGGGUAGGCAUCUUUAUGUCACUGAACACUUCAGUCGCACUUCCAUUUCAUCCAUCGAAUUUGAUUUUAUGUGUAACAUCUUCGUCUAUUAUUUCAUUCUCCUUAAAUAACGAGCCUAGAUAACUGAGUUGUUUGCAUUUAGGUACCACAAUCCUCUAUAAUCUCACAUCUACUUCAAUCUUAUGCCGGCUAAACUUGUAGUGCGUAUCUUUAAACUUGCUUCUACUUCUAAGUUUUCUAUAUUGUCUAUUGGCAUAAAAGACAAAAACUCCAGCAAACAUUGGACCUAAGAUAACAUACUACGAACAUUGGAUUGAGCUUCAUUUGGCUGUUAAAUAGUAGGAUAGCUAGCAGCAUUUUUUAUCUCUUUCAAUUUAGAUUAUCAGAGGAGGUAUUACUGGCAAAUUGAUUACUUGGGUGAUGCAUAGAUAUACUUUUUAGUUGUACCUUCUUUUCCUAGCUCAUUCAUUAAGUUUCGUUUGCAGGACGAGAAUACUGCUAGAAGUCCCCAUUAUGUCUGAAAUUGGUUGUUUUCCGAUGAGCAUUUGGGAAACGUCCAUUCUCCAUUUUUUAUCUGGAGAUUUAGUUUAUUCACUUGAUCCAGCAGGUUUGUGUAUGGUAGUGAGUUCUGUACAGUCACAAAAUGGUCGUAUUCUUUUCCAGGAUAAUUACAAAUGAUAAACCUUGUCUUUUUGUUGUCAUGUAAAGAUAAUCAUGUAAGUUCCCAUAUUUUGGCAAUGCAAUUUUACACCUUUCAAGUAAAAGCGUCUUAAAGAUGUCUCAAUCUGAGGUUCAUCAACUGAAGAUAGGUUUGACUUCUAUUUCUUCCCUUGUAUCUUCCUCACAUUCGUAUUGGACAUGAUUUGAAUGUUACUGGUCCUUGUUUAGCUUAUUAUCUAUUGAAGUAAAACUGCGUCGUGACUGGAGAUGCAUUUUUAAUGAUUGUGAGGUGAUGUCGGAGAAGUCCUACAGUAAAUGGAGGGUACUUAACAAGAGCUGGUGCAGUUAGCUAUCUUUCAUCUAUUCUUUGGCAGGUAUUGUCAUUUGCAGCAGUUCAUGCUUCAGGAGUGUCUUGAUACUUGCACUUUGUCCUAGUUGAAUACCUUUGCCCUAGCCCGUAUCUUCCAACAAUAACAAUCUAGUAUAAUCUCAUUUAGCGAGGUCUGGGGAGGAUAGUGUACAGAUUUGUGUUUUGGAUUGUGUCUCCCUUAUGGUAGUUAUUUAUGGUAGUUCCUGUAUGAUAUUAUUGCAUGCUAUUUUAUUUAUGGUUCUUAUGUUUAGAUAAUUAUUUACGCUNN